rnacentral:lncRNA from 10 species
GGCGUGAUCUCUGCUCACUGCAAGCUCCGCCUCCCGGGUUCAAGCGAUUCUCCUGCCUCGGCCUCCCCAGUAGCUGGGACUACAGGCGCCUGCCACUACGCCUGGCUAAUUUUGUGUAUUUUUAGUAGAGACGGGGUUUCACCGUGUUAGCCGGGAUGGUCUAGAACUCCUGACCUCGUGAUCCCCCGCCUUGGCCUCCCCAAGUGCUGGGAUUACAGGCGUGAGCCACCGCGCCCGGCCCUGCUGGGAGUUUCUGUCUCAGACUUCUUCAGCCGGGCACAGCAAUUCAGCUCCUCAGCCUUCUGCUCUUCCCACCCCUCUUCACUGGGUCCGGUGUGGGGCUUCUGCCCGUGGGUUUCUAAGCAGUGGAGACGUGGAAACAGGAUGGCACAGAAGACGCGGAAUGAGCCAGUGCGGUUAACAAGAGGAAGCACAUGAAUUGGAAAGUUCAGUGAGCUCUUGUUUAGAUAAUAGGAUCCAUAUAUCACUAGUGAUAUUUUCCUUCAUUCUCUUGUGAUCCAUAGAUUCCUUCUCCCUCUCUUCCUUUCCUCCCUCCCUCUCUCUGUUGGCAUUUUAUUUGUAGAAAAAAGUGUAGAAUUUGUUACACCCUGGAUUUUGCAGAUUGUCUCAUUGUGGUGUCAUUUGACAUUUUUCUACUGCCUUGUAUGUCCUGUAAUUUGUUAAUUAGAUCAAGAGGCUUAGACUCAAGUUCUUUUUUUUUUCCAGGAUUACUUAUAGGUGAUGUUGUAUACAGCCAUGUAGAUGGACAGGGUGUCUGGUUUUCUUAUUUUUUUCAAAAAGAUGUCAGCAGUCAUUGGUGAUCAUUACCUAAGGGUGUUUUUGUUUGUUUUUGAGAUGGAGUCUCGCUCUGUCACUCCAGCUGGAGUGCAGUGGCACAAUCUCAGCUCACUGCAUCCUCCGCCUCCCAAGUUCAAGUGAUUCUCCUGCCUCAGCCUCCCCAGUAGGUGGGACCAACGAUAUUAAUAAUCAUAUUGCAUGUGAAUGUCUUAGUAUGACUUUAUAUGAUUGAUAGUAGCAGGAUGAUACUUUAUGUUUACAUUGAUUUGUUACAACAUACGUU